UCCUAAACCUGAUAGCAGCGGAAAUCCUUUUUGUUUGCAGCAACCUUGAAUAUGCUGUCAUGCUGAGGCACGAAGCAUCUGCAACCUAUGAAACAGAUGCUUCGUGCCUCAGCAUGACAGACACUACAAAAAGAUUGAAGCGAAUGGCAGGACUGUAC
rnacentral:sRNA from 1 species